rnacentral:rRNA from 1 species
GAUGAACGCUAGCGGCAGGCCUAACACAUGCAAGUCGAGGGGUAGCGGGAUUAAGCUUGCUUAAUUGCUGACGACCGGCGCACGGGUGCGUAACGCGUAUGCAACCUACCUUAUACUGGGGUAUAGCCCGGAGAAAUUCGGAUUAAUCCCCCAUAGUACUAAUGAAUCGCAUGGUUUAUUAGUUAAAGCAUUGCGGUAUAAGAUGGGCAUGCGUCCUAUUAGCUAGAUGGUGAAGUAACGGCUCACCAUGGCUACGAUAGGUAGGGGGCCUGAGAGGGUGGUACCCCACACUGGUACUGAGACACGGAGCAGAAUCCUACGGGAGGCAGCAGUGAGGAAUAUUGGUCAAUGGGCGCAAGCCUGAACCAGCCAUGCCGCGUGCAGGAAGAAUGCCCUAUGGGUUGUAAACUGCUUUUAUUUGGGAAUAAACCUCUUUACGUGUAGAGAGCUGAAGGUACCAAAUGAAUAAGCACCGGCUAACUCCGUGCCAGCCGCCGCCGUAA